rnacentral:lncRNA from 1 species
UCUACCCGCAGUUACCUCUGUUAUCGAUGUAAUCGACAUUGCCUAAGGCGUUACCUGCCGCGUAAUGUUUAUAUACACGACAAGGAGCCUCAGUUACGCCAUUACCGUCGAAACGUACGGACAUAAAAAUUUUCUAUUUUGUAGUUUAUUUCAAUUCUAUUGCGUAAUAUAAAAUCGUGUACGAAUAUUGCAUAAUGUAAUAGUUACGAUUUUUGAAUUUUGUUCGAUUCAUGUGUGCUAAUAGUUAAUCGUAGUUAUUACAAUUAAUAUUUAAUGUUUGUUAAAAUACGCGCGUUAUAUUCGUGAACGAGUAUAGUUUCUGGUAAUGGAGGAAAGAAAAGCUGUUAGAUUAUCCACUGCCAAGCUGUUAUCUACGAAUGUCACACGAACAACAAAGGCCAGUAAGGAAAAGAUAACCAAAAAAGUAAUCAUAUCCUCGUCAAUGUGAGUAUGAAUUUCGUACAUAUUUUAUUGCGUAGUAGCAUAAAUUUAUAUUUCAAGUCUUCUGGUACGUUAUUAUAAUAAUACACUUUUUUAAUAGAUUCAUACUUUAUAACGUACUUCUAUUCUCUCAUACGAAAUUCAUAUAUAUUACAUUAUUACGUAGUAGUAAAUAAAAAAAUAUCAAUAUAAUCUAAUGUACAGAAGACUCGAAAUACUAUAAACACAUUAGUCAUUAUACCAUUAGUCAUCGCAAUCAAUAUACAUGUAAACAUACUACAUACAAUUCAGGAACAUAAAAUAACAACAUAAAUCAAUGUUAACGGUAUUCCAUGCUAUAAAUUUAUCUAAAAAUUUUUCUUUCAAACUUUCUACUUACAACUACGUAUAAUACAAAUAUUCAUCGUGCCAACGUCAUAUCAUAUUAGGCAAAAACUGUAAUUAAAGCUUAGCUGAUACAUUUUCGCAUUUCCAAAAAAUUUUUCGAUCCGUAUUGUCGAUUCAUAGUCCACACCGUGUCCAAGACGCGAACGGAACGAUAUGUCGCGCGUUUUCGCAUCUUUGUAGCUUUAUUAUCGUAAUCCCAUGGCGUCGAUAAGCCCAUUACCACGUGUCUCUACCGAUGCUUCGUAAUGUAUGCGCCGGAACGUAAUAAAAAUCGACUUACACGAGCGGUCGGUCGGUCUUCUAGCCACCUUUCUCCGUGUGUAUACCAGUCGGCUUCUAUCGGGCGGCACGCUUUUAGGUGUCGCUAAAACUUUAAUCAAAGUCAGAUUAGCCACGAAGGGACGACACCGAGGCUACCGAGGGCGGUUCGCGGGGUGGGAAUACCAGGGGCCGGGCGUUUUAUUAAACGGGACUUGAUUAGGGGUUGCCAAGAUCCUUUCAGAGUUUGUUUUCGACUGGUUUCCACGGAGCCGCGCUUUCAUUACUCCGGUUUUCGCAUAAUUGACGCGAUCGUUCGUUAGGGGGGAAAAAAGUUGGCCACUCCGUCACUCUGUUCGCUUAUUCUAUUGCCGGAAAGGAAAUUGCAAAUUAUUCAUCUUCUUUUUACAUUUUGGUGAAGUCUUUAUUGACUCUUUCUUUUUCUAUUUUGUUUUUUGAAUUUUUUGUUAUUCUUGGGGAAAUGAUUUAUUUUAGUAGAUUUUUUUUUAAAUUAACAAGUUACGUAUAAAUUGAAUUUUUAAAUUUUUAUUAUUUUAGAGGAGGUAUAUUUUGUUAAAUAUUUUUUGUUAAGACGUAGUAAUAUUUCUUAGAUGUACAACAUUUUAUAAAUCAGAAAUUGGAUUUUUUUUAUUAAUCAUUCGGAUGAUUGAUACGAUUGCGAUAACGAUCAACUAAAGACGGAGUGAUUAACUUGGUGUGAAACACAUUUACGCAUCAACAUAAAAUGAUCGAAAGUGAUACAGUCUCUUGGUAAUCUCUGUAAUCCCGAGAGUAUAACCUCGUGAUCGCUUCCCCAGGCAAACUGUCCAACACGAUCCCCACACAGUGUGAUGUUUGUAUUCUCCUCGCAGUAAUAAUCGGUUUCGAUCAUUUUUCAAGCUUGAUGUUCAUUCCUAAUAAUAAUUUUUUCCGCAUAUUAAAUUCGAUGAAAUAUCAUUUCUAACUUUAGAAUAGAAAAAUUAGAUAGAAGUUAGUUAAAUAAUCCAACGAAAUCUAUAUUAAAAUGUCUCCAUAGUUAGAAUCUCAGUUUAAAUUUAAUUAAAAUUCAAUUAUAUACAAUAUUCGGUAUUCAUCAUCGUUUGAUAAAACGUGAAGAAUUUCAAGAGGAUGUGUGGAUGAACGUAUUCACAAAGAAGACGAAUGUCACGCCGGGGGGGUCGGCGUAACCGCGCAAUAACAACCCUUGGGAAGCUGGGGCAGAGGUUGACGCGAUGUUUACGUCGAAGGGUCUCCACGCAGAGACUCCGUUUUCCAUCCCCAUCCCUCCGGCUUAACGCUAAUGAAUCUAAUUUGCAUCUGAUCCCGACCGAUCUUCGAUCCUCCCUCGACCAAUCCGCUCCUGGAUUAUUUAAGAAUGCUGCCGUGCAUCGUACGCGUCCGUGAUUAAUUACGCGAUAUUUGUUUCAGACUACGUAUCGUUUCCGCCUCGAAUAGAUCGCGUUGUUAGUGAAUUUGACCGAUGAUAUACCUCCUCUUUCGUUUCCUCCGGUGAUUUUAUUCGUUGUGUAUUGUAAAAUUUUCAAUUUCGAAGUAAAGAUUUAGAUUUAGAUAGUGUAAGAUGAGUUUACAAAGGGAAUGGAAGUGAAUGUUUUCGAAAUCUCUUUGCAAACUUUAAUAAAUGGUCGGUGUCAAGGAAAUAAACGAUUUUUAUUCGGGUCAGUGAUCCACGGUCUCGAGUAUCGAGAAUGUAAAUCGUUUCUGCAACAAAGAGUUCGUUAUUUGACGUUUUACAAACGAUACCACUUUAUACGAAUUUGUCCAGUAAUCAGGAAAAAUAAUGGUCGAAUAAUAAAGGACGAGUCGCGCGUAUGAAGAAAACGAAGUCGAUUGAAUUGGAUUUAUUUAUUUUUUUUUU